AAGGCAUCUGAUCUCUCUGCUGCAAGGCCAGCUUGGCUCCCAGGAGUGCAACGGUGCCUGCCAUAAAAAAAGCCUAAAGGUUAUCUUUUUACAACUCAAAGGACUGCCUGACUUUUUAAAAGAGGUUUUGAAUUGAAGAAGGAGCUACCAGGCACAGCUAUAGUAAUUUUAAAUCAGUGGUUAAAGGGCUGCUUCAUGAAAAAAACCCCAACUUUUUGCAGUUUUGUUGGAAAAUGGAAGAUUUGUAAUAUGGUGCAAGGAAAGUGGGAUGAUAAAGGGGCUGGAAAGGUGCUGGGAACAAAGUUGGGUGCUGGUGAUGGUUUUUCUCAAAUAAGAUAGGAAGAGCUGCAGGAAAACUGGGUUUUUCCUUUGGAUCCCAGGUUAAUGGCAGUCACAUCCCAGCCAGCUCCCUGCGGCAUUGUUCUUCCCACAGAGCAUUCAGACCUAUUUUCUGCACUUUCCUUUGACACAGCCUAAAAAAAAAUUACAUUUCUUAAAUGAAAAGCCGUCUGAUCCGGAUGGUUCUGGGAGAGGCAAAAACCAGCAAGGAUUACACCAGGAACAGCCCAAGCCUGGAUUUCUCCAGCUCAUGCAGCACAGGUGGGAUAAAUAUUAAAAAACCAAAAAACAACCCAACAAAAACAAACAAACAAACAAACAAACAAAAAAGCUGUAUGCUAAUAUUCUCUUUCCCCCCAGCUUUCCUGGCAGAACUGAGACACUCACUGCCACAAUGUAGUUUUAAAACACAUUGAUUUUGAUGGCAUGAGUGGAAAGGGAUGAGGCGAGUGCGCAAGCGCGUUACCAGGCUGUGAGUGCUAUACUGGCUUCUUUAUAAAAUAAAGGAUAAAAAGCCCAUCCCACCCUAUUUCUGAAAACAGAUGCACAGCACAUACCUGCGAGCAGGUUUUGCUAUUUUAUAUCCCAGAUUUCCUUCAUCAUAUCAGUGAUUACAGCAUCCUGCAGCCCUAUUUCCUGAAAAUUACCAAUUUUCACCCAGAUUUGGCUUUGAGUGGUUUAAGUUAUAUCUUUAUUUUGCUGGAAUGUCCAGUAAAGCAGUGUGAGCGAUGUGUUUUAUUGAAAUAAAAGCACGGAUAUUUUUUUAAGACGUUAUCCCCUUCAUCAAGGUGGAUUAUUGUCCUCAAGGAUUUAUCACUGGGGGGAAAAAUGAAGAAGGACGGGGAAAAAAAUACAUAAUAUACUAAUAUAUACCUUAAUUCUCUGUGCGGCUAAACUUUUCCGCACAGCCAAACUAGGAAAUGUGCUUUAAUCUCAUUUAUUGGACUGCUUUGUCUGAGUAUGGGUUUUUUUUUUUUUUUUUUUUUUUUUUUUUGAUGAAACGAUCGGGCUCUAGACGGGGAGAUAAGGACAAAGAGUUUCGCGAGGGAGAAGAUAAAUUCCUGAAGAAAAAAGAGAAAAAGAGGAGGAAAAUGAGGGUUUGGUUGACAAAAGGCGGCGCCGGCCGGGGCUGCCCCCUCAGGGCCCCUGAGGCGCGGCCCCCGCGCCCGCUUCACAAAAUGGCCGCCCGGCGGGGCGCGGGAAAGGCGGAGGCGACAAAAUGGCGGCGGCGGAGAGCGCGGAAGGACGGGCGGCAGCGGCGGCGGGCCGGAGCGGCGUGGGCACGGCCGAGGGGCUCUGAUCCUCUGCGAAUCCCCUCCGGGCGGGCGGAGAAAGCGCUGCGGGUGAAACCUGACCUCCUUCUCCCUCCUACCCUGUUCUCCUCGCCGCCUUUGCGAAAGGAUGCGAAAGUGGCCGGAAAUGCGCAUUUUUAUUCGGCCGUGGGGGAGCUCCCGGUCUUCUCCCCUCACUUCAGCCCCCCUGCUCCCCCAGUGUUAGCCCUAAAAUGUUUUUGAUGUUUUUUUUCCCCUCACAGCUGAGGGGUUUUGGGCAAGAAUGGCGCUUUCCACACGACCCCCACCCUUCCCUUCAUCAUCACCACAGGCACCCCCAUGGUGGGCAGUUUUAUGCCCAAUUCUCUCUUUUUCCAGCGCUUUUCUCCUUCGCAGGGGCUGAAGCCGCCAACUCCCGGUCUCCUCACGGCAUGGAAAAUCCCCAAAAGUGCUUAGGGAAAAAAAAAAACAAAACAAAAACAAACCCACAAAAAACCAGUCCCAAACGCCCGAAGAUUGAUUUAUUAUCGGAGCCGGAGUGCUUUGGGAAGAAGCCAUCACUGCUCGCCCGCCAUUCGCAUAAUUAAAAUCAUAUAUUGCUGUGAUCAGACGCACUAAUACCAUUAAAAAAACCCAAAUCCCGUAACAUCCACACGCUCGUUGUUGGAGGCUGUAGCCAAGAGAUGUAGAUUUUCCUUGGGAGAUUUGGGAUUAUUUUUUAAUGAGAAAGAGGAAAAAAUACACCCAGAAAAAAAAAAAAAAAAAAACAAAACAAAAAACAAAACCAAAACAAACAAUGAAAAAGAAACAAAAAGGAAAAAAACACAACAAACCGCAGUAAGUGAAGCUGCAAAUGCAACCGAAUGGUCCGGAUCAGACAAUUCAUUGCACAAAAAAUGGAUAAAUGGAACUGAAAUGGCCGGCUUUGCUGUAGAUCCAGGAGGAGGGAUCAGCUCCUUUAUCCCACCAUCUCGCGCUACAAACUCCACCAUUUUCUCUCUCUCUCUUUUUUUUUUUUUUUUUUUUUUUUUUUUUUAAUAUGCUUUGUUGGGGCGUUUUGUUUGGAGCCGAGGCGGCGGCACCACCCCCGAGCCGGGGCUGGCAGAGCCGCUCGGGGCUCCACUCACACAGAGAUCUCGCAUUUCUGCCCGGCCUUGUGCAAUCCUCUCCCUUUUAGCACACGCAGUUUUUUUCCUCUCCCCUCUGCGGGUAUCAGGGUUUCUCUGCUCUCUCCAGCUUGGCUGCUUAUUCCAGAAGUUUCCGCGGGGGCGGGGAGCCCCCACUGCGGCGCCUUUGCCGCAGCGCCGGGCAGGGGCAGGAGGAGGAGGAGGAGGAGGAGGAUGCGCCGCCUCUCCCUGGCUGCGAGCCUCAUUCCAAGCAGCUCCCCCUUGCUCCGUUCCCCCAGCCUUGAAAACAGAGCGCUGGGAGGUGUUUGCAGCUUGGAGGGGUUUGGGGUUUGGUUUUUUUUUAUUUUUUAUUUUUUUCCUAAAUCAAUGGAAAGCAGAGCUGUCGCUGAUGGAGAUGGAUGAGACAGGGCUGGAAGCGCCGCAGCCCUGCUCCGGCGUGGCCAUGGCACCGGCGGCAUAAGUGACCUUUCCCAGGCAGUGGGAGGGGGGAUUCCCCCCCGUUCCAGCAUGCUUCUGCUCGGAAUUAAUUUUAAAUAGGAGUAUUAUUUUUUAUUUUUCUUCCCCCCCCCCAUUUCUCCUUCACUGUUUUUGUUUUGUUUUGGUUUUUUUUCCCCGAAGCUUCCUCAUGAUCUUUUAUUUUCUUCCUGUGUGUGUUUUGAAUUGCGUUUUAAAAUUGCCCAGCUGGAGACAAGGCUUGAUUAGAGCUGGAACAAUAGCUCCCUUUUAUUAAUAACGGGAAGGAUUUACAAUCAUACAGCACCUUCCUUGGAAAGCUUUCCAAACCAUUUACAAACACUCACAAAUUUCAGAUUGUGCAGCCCUUGGCUGUGAGGUGGGUAAGUAUUUAAUGGUGCCACCACACAAAAUCACCUCGGUGGCAAACCUCAAUUUCUGAGUGCUUAAAAAGAUGACAGAUUUGGUUUUGCUUUUUUUUUUUUUUCUGGUGGGGGGUGGUGAGUGGGUGGGUGGGGUGGGGUGUGGGGCUGGCUGAAAGCUGUAACCUAAAUCUGUGAAUGCAGUGUUUGCUGCGUCCUGGGAACUGGGCUGUUCUCCCUCCAGCCACGCAGCUCUCCAGAGCCGAGCUGUGGAUUUGCUGCAUGUCAGUAAACAUCUGCUUAUGGAUUUUUUAAAAAUUUUUUUCUUUAAUCCAUUCCCUUUUUGCAGUCCCUAAGUGACCUCCUGCAGUGCUGCCUGCACUGCGGUUCCACCACAGCUUUGCUCUGGAGCCCUGAUGUUUGUCCCUGUGAGCCAGAGUGACCUUGCUGGGGGUACUUGGGCCCACCGAGCGAUUCAGGUGCUGUGCUUUGAUCCCAAAUCCCUGCACCUUGUUUUUUGCCAGCACAUCCCCUCACUCAGGGCGAUGCUGCAGUUAUGGGUUAAAGCUGUUUCAUGCCUUAUUUUUUUUUUCUCAGUUGUUUUGGUUUGGGUUUUUUCUUCUUUUGUUUUUUUUGUUUGUUUCCUUCUAAGGGAAACAAUAUAUUGUUUGUGUAACCCCUCUCCUCAGCAGAUCGCUACAAACCAAGCGGGGAUCCAGGAGUCACCCAGGCAGUGGGAUCUGGCCUUCCCAGAAGCAUGAGGGACAAGGCUCCAGCUGUAUCUGCAUGUGUCACCCACAGGCCACACAAGCCUGCAGUGUUCCUGUGGUUACUUCUGUCUGCAGAGCUGCUGGAAUGUGCAUUGGCAGGUAUGCAAAUGUGGAGACUGUAACAGCAGCGAAUGAGGAUGGAUGAGCUGUUUUCUGGGGUCACAUCCAACUCCAGAGAAGAAACCCUGGUGAUUUACAAUUUUUUUCUUGUCUCUGGUAGAUUUUACUCUGAGCUCCACUGUACCUUGUGAGAAGACUGAGUUUUACCCUUUUGGCUACUAAAAAUGGUUCUGUUUUUAAACCUUGGUGCUUUUUCCCUUCCCUGUGGUCAUGCAGAAGAGCAAGCAGUGCAAUUAAAUAGUACAGCAAAGGGCAGCUCCCUCCCCCUUUCUCUUUCAAAAAAUCCAGAGUUGUGUGUCUUGAACUGCUGCAUAGGCAGAAAACAUACAAAGCCUUUGUCAGCAUUGUGCUGAUGUGUGGCACGUUAAAAAAAAAUACACACAAAAGGGGUGGGGAGAGCGGGUGCCUCCAGGGAGCAAAACUAUGGGGCCCCUUUCCCUCCAAGCCUACAGACCUGUGAGGGAUAGCCUGUUCCUCCUAAUUUUGCUCAGGCAAAGGCAGUGGAGGUCGGAGGGAGCAUUGAACAUCUUAAAUGGCCUUGAUGCUAAUCAGGGUCCCCAUGAAUUACAUUUUUUUUCCGUUGCAGCUGGUUUAUUACUCCAUUCCUCAAAGUCCUGCUCGCUUGCCGGGAAGGGAAACGCUUCCUUACUGGGUGUCAUUUCUUUUGUUGUGUUGCAAAGCCUGGAAGGCCAUAGUCCUGUUUGGUGACGAAAGCCCUGUAUUUGGGGAGAGCCCUUGUGAGGUUUUGGUUGUGUGGCUCAACCAUCACACUGGGUUCUGCUGCUGAAGAAACCUCUGGUUCUUUGUAGAAGGAAUUUUAAAAACAGCAAUGUUUUUUUAUAUAGAGAUAAAAAUGGGUUCAAUGUCAACUGAAGUUCAGAGGCCCCUGCACACUGGGCUGUGGGAUGUGACUGGUGCUAAGCCACUGGCUAAAAUAGUGGCAUUUUGUGGCAGCUCCCAUCCCUGGCUCUGUGCAUAAGAACACAGGGAAGAGCAUCAGAAAAUAGAUUACUGAAUUCUGCAUUUCAGAAACAUGAAGGGAGUUUUCUGCAGAGUCAUCUUAUCAGGAAGAUUUGGAGCACUAACCCUCAGAAAGAACUGGAAUCAAGAGUUUUAUCAAUAUAAAUCCUGUGCUUUGUGUUGGUUAAGGCUCCACAACCUGGCUCUGUGCUCCAAGUGUUUUCAGCCCCUAAGAUGACAGCCUCUGUCUUGGCAACAAAUGGGCCUAAAUAUCAAACAGCACCAAUUCUUUCCUGGAAAAAAUGAGCAUAAAGAAGAAUGGGUAAGCUAUAAAAUUAGGCCAAUAAUUCAGGCUGGCUUAAAAAGGAGAUAAAAGCCUAGCUGGGAAUUUGAUAUUCAUCUGUCAUAGUGUUCUUUUAAUAAAUACAAUCAAUGAGCAAGGAAGGCACGUAAAUACAUUUUACCUUGACAAGAUGGUGGCUGGCUCAAACAAAGGAACACUCUGAGUGUUUCUUGGGGCUCUUUGCUGUGAAACCCUUUUCUUGCUUUUUCACAAAAAGCAUAGAAACUGGCUGUGCACUGGUGGUGGGGAUAAUCCUCGUGUUCCCACUCAGAUCCCCGUGAAUCCCGGCUGAUGUAGCCAGGGAGAGAUGUAAUAUCCCCUUUCACAGAGAUGUUGCUGUGCCAGACCUGAGGGUAGGCAGUCAGAGUCUGAGCAAACAGAACCCUGGUUGCUGUCCUUGCUCAGUAUCUAAUCUUUGCUUUUGAGCAGUCUCAGCAACGUGCAGCAGCUUUGCCACUCGGGAAAGGCAAAAAAAAAGGUGUUCAAAAUGGAUAAACCUGCCUUUUGAAGCAUUGUGUCUGCCCACUUCUAUUUAUUGGUUUUUCCUCCUCAAAGAGAGGCUGCUGUGUGGACCUCAAGGAUGUUUUCUGCUUCUCCUGCCCUUUUUUUUCCCUUCAAACUGGAGAGCUGCUAACUUUAUUAGCUCCUUAUAUGGCAGCUCCAUUUUCUCACGCCUUUAAUGGCUCUCUUUUGAUCUAUCCUGUUCUUGCCUUGCUUUUCCUGAACGUGGUGCUCAAGCUGAGAUGGGUUUAUAACAUACUCCCUCACUAAUAAAUGGCCUGGCCCUUUAAUUCUCUCCAAGCACUGAUAAGAAACAUCCAAAUGUUUUAACUGCGGGGUUGGCUGACAUGUCCGGAGAUAGCUGGGCUCUCAGCUACACCCUCCCAGGAGCAAUUUAAAUUGUUCCUUGCAGCGAGUGUCCCAAAGGCCGAGGGCCAUCGGGUCAUGUAGAACAGCUCAAGCCCCCUGUUUGGGGC